rnacentral:lncRNA from 1 species
CUCGCCAGUGUAGCCCUUGGCGUUAUUCCAGGACCAGCGUCUUCUGUACGCUUACUCUGGGGUUCAGACUUCUGCGCCCCUGGCCGGCGGUGGCGCGCCUCCUCCACGCCUCUCUCCAGCCCUGAGCUCUCUGCGGCCGAAAGUGGCCGGGCAAGCGUUGCCAUGACAGCACCGCGGGUGGGGAUGCGGAGGGCAGAGCGCGCCGGCCCGCUAGCCCCUUUGUGCGGAAGGGGCGGCGGUGUGCUCCCCCCAGCCCGGCUGCACCCCGCUUUCCCGGCCAGGACUCUGGGCGAGGGAAAGGGGAGGGUUAGGUGUGGGGCUGUAGGGGCGCAAGGAGGAGGGAGAAGGGUGGAGGCGAGGGCCGCGGGUGGGGCGCCUCCGCCCGCCAGCCGCUCCCGCAUUAAAAUUUCAUGGGCGCUGCAGCAGCUACAAAGACGACGCCGGCUGCGCUCGGGGGACCGGAGGGAGGGAGGCUGCGGACGAGUGCGGGGAGGAGUUUGAGGUGGGAGGUGCUUGCAGGGACUCCCCCAGUUCUGCGCUGUGAGCCGGGGCACAAAGAGCCCUCUGCACUCGCGCCGCAGGACCGCGGACCCGAGAGCCUGCCAUUCCUUCACUUCUGGGACUCAAAUCCCGGAUGUCCGGCGUCCAAUUUGGCUCCCAAAGGAUGGAGAGGGCUGGUAACUUACCCUCGCUGAAAACAACAGUGACAUCAGUUUAUGGAGAGGUUACUCUACGCCAGGGACCUGCUUGGUGCUUUGCAAACGUUAUCACAACAAUUCCACGAGGUGUGAGAAUUUUGGGCUGGGCAAGGUGGCUCACAUCUGCAAUUCAGCACUUUGGGAGGCUGAGGCGGGAGGAGUUCAAGACAAGCCUGGGUAACAUGGUCCUUUCUCUGGCUGUGAUCCAUGCUUCUUCCCCGGGCAGGAUGACACUCUUUGAAUUUCCUUAUUCAUCAAGGCAGUGCAGGGUGGUGGAAGGAGACGCAGCUGAGAGUUAUGCAGUUGGAGGCAUCUGUCCACCCACGUGGUUCCAGACACCUUCAUGUGGCCACCAUAACCCCAUCGGCAUCACAGGAGUAGCCAAGGUCCACAGAGCCAGGGGAAACAGUCACUGUGGACCAAGCCAGGCUCCUCUGAGCAGCCCAGGGUCUAUUUACAGAGAGCAGCAAGUUCCUGGGACAGAGGAGAGAGAAGGGAAUUUCCAGGUUCUUCAGGACGUUCACAACCAUGCUGAGAAGCAUCCUUGCAGAUAA